AGAAGAGGACAGUGGAACUCCAUGUGUAGCGGUGAAAUGCGUAGAUAUAUGGAAGAACACCAGUGGCGAAGGCGGCUGUCUGGUCUGUAACUGACGCUGAGGCUCGAAAGUAUGGGUAGCAAACAGGAUUAGAUACCCUGGUAGUCCAUACCGUAAACGAUGAAUGCUAAGUGUUGGAGGGUUUCCGCCCUUCAGUGCUGCAGCUAACGCAUUAAGCAUUCCGCCUGGGGAGUACGGCCGCAAGGCUGAAACUCAAAGGAAUUGACGGGGGCCCGCACAAGCGGUGGAGCAUGUGGUUUAAUUCGAAGCUACGCGAAGAACCUUACCAGGUCUUGACAUACUAUGCAAAUCUAAGAGAUUAGACGUUCCCUUCGGGGACAUGGAUACAGGUGGUGCAUGGUUGUCGUCAGCUCGUGUCGUGAGAUGUUGGGUUAAGUCCCGCAACGAGCGCAACCCUUAUUAUCAGUUGCCAGCAUUAAGUUGGGCACUCUGGUGAGACUGCCGGUGACAAACCGGAGGAAGGUGGGGAUGACGUCAAACCAUCAUGCCCCUUAUGACCUGGGCUACACACGUGCUACAAUGGAUGGUACAACGAGUUGCGAACUCGCGAGAGUAAGCUAAUCUCUUAAAGCCAUUCUCAGUUCGGAUUGUAGGCUGCAACUCGCCUACAUGAAGUCGGAAUCGCUAGUAAUCGCGGAUCAGCAUGCCGCGGUGAAUACGUUCCCGGGCCUUGUACACACCGCCCGUCACACCAUGAGAGUUUGUAACACCCAAAGUCGGUGGGGUAACCUUUUAGGAACCAGCCGCCUAAGGUGGGACAGAUGAUUAGGGUGAAGUCGUAACCAAGGUAGCCGUA
rnacentral:rRNA from 1 species